rnacentral:rRNA from 1 species
CACAUCGCCCGUCACACCAUGGGAGUUGGCUGCACCAGAAGUAGGUAGCUUAACCGCAAGGGGGGCGCUUACCACGGUGUGGUCAAUGACUGGGGUG